AAGCCCGUGAGCUUUGGGGCCCGCUCCCCACUUUGGUGCUGUGUGGAUGGGGCCGUGAGGGAAGCUAACCCUGCUGCGGUUUCUCCUGGGGCACAGCAGCUCCCCCACAGGGCCCAAAGAUCACACUGAUGGGCACGAGCAAGUAUCUCAGAAUCGGAGAGCAGAGUGAGCCUUAUGAGUGUUCCCUCCCACCAUUCUCUAUACUCUGUUCACUCUUUGAAACUAGAGGAUUUGUUAAAGGUUCAUGAAACUUAGGAGGUGCAAUGUAGAUUAAUUCUUCAAUCAGGGACUCAGUUCCAAGACCUGGGUGAAAGGCACAGUAUGUGGGUGACAGCUGAUGCCCUGUGACCUGGAAACUUGGGACGAUUUGACCUCAACUGUGACCCUGGGGUACCAGGCCCACAGCAGCCAGGAGCAGAAGCUUCCACCCAAACGCAGAGCGGUGCAAUCUAUCUACCAGCGCCAGAACUGAGAACUAACAGAGAAUUGCCCACGUUUGGUUUGUUUGCCCAGACCUGAAAAUAAACUGGUCUCCAUGGAGCGAGGAUCUCAUAAAUAAACGUUUUGGAACCCUGCUUCGCCUGCUGUCGAAGGCUUGGAGACGCCUUAUAAGAAGCAUGCUCAAGAUGAUUUAAAAGUAAUCAAAUAGAAGCCUGAGCGACGGUUUUGUAUUAUUUUCUCGAGAAUCAGGGAAUACCAGAUGGCUGUAGGAACAACGGAUUCUGUAACUAUCCUCUUAUUUUUGUAGACAAUAAAUCAAAUUACUAGCACCCAUGAAUAUUUUGGCUCAAAAGCAGUAGCUUCCUUGCAGUAAUUAACCCUGGAGGGCUGGCACGGAGAUGGAGGAAUCAGUGGAACAGACAGAGAAUCCAGGUGCCGGCCUAUGUGCUACCUAUUAGGAUCUGAUAAAGAUGAUAUUUCGAGUCGCUGGGGAAAAGACAGAUGAAUCAACAGAUGUUACUGUCGGGAGGGGGAACGCGGUUAGAAAAAGCUGACGUGGGCCCCACACAGCAAUCUGGGUGCGUUAAAUAUCUAAACAUAUGCCAUGGAGUCUGCAAGGAGCUAUAAUGAUCUUUUUAAAAGAAAAGAAGCCAAAACACCCGUGAGGGGCUCAAAUGGAGGCGUCUCUCCCAUUUCUGAGCUGUGAGUCUGGAAGCCAGGAGGAGGGACCUCUCGAUCAGGACAAAACAUUGCAUUCUUACCCCACCCACCCCCGCUGACCAAACAGCGCCCAGGAGUGGAGAACUGGACGCCCGAGGCCUCGGACAGCACCCCAGGCCCACCCAUCCCUACAGAGCUGAUUUCCCUUCCUUCUCUGCACCCUUCCUGUGUGUUCUUCCUUUCUUCCCAGUGAAAGGAAGCAGAAGAAAACAGGACAAAACCGUUUGGACCAAAGUGAGAAAGCAUCUCUCACGGGCCUGUCGGACUGAGGCUGCUGGUCAACGCUAGUGAGAGGGAAAGAAAGGAAACCUACAAACUGCAAAGGCCGCGGGCAGGAGGCUGCUACACAGGAAGAUGAGGGAGAAAUCAAACUGCUAGGGAAGCAGAAGCAAUGGAAAACUAAUCAACGCCUAAGACACACACCCAAGGGAGAACAAAGAUUCAAACGAGGAGGUCUGGGCAGCAAACAGUGAAUGCAUGAAUUUUUAAAAUGAGGUGCAGUUGAAGACACAUGAAACACCUUCUAAACUUUCCUGACUUGGAGCACACUCGUCCCACCGUCCUGGCCGCUUCCUGCAACAGCUCUGGAGUCCUCUCUCCGGAGGGUCUUCAGCUGCACUGUCCUGGCUCCUCAGAUUUCCUUUUCAUGGUCACUGUGACUUUUCACAAGAGCUGGAAGCUGCAUGGUGUCAGAUCUGGUGGAUGAGGACUCAAUGUCAUGUUUUUCCUACUAUAAAUGUUUAGAAUCUAUUCAGGGCAUUGAGGCACAAAAAGACCCUCAGGAAGGAGGACACCAGAGCCGCUGCAGGAAGCGGCAAGGAUGAUGGGGUGACUGUGCCUGAAGCAAGGGGAAUAUUUUGAGCAGAAUUCAUGUCAAUGUGUCUUUUCCUGUAAUGCACUGAUUUUAUUUUUAGCAAACAUUGACUACGUUUUCUUUAUCGCAACCCGUAGAACAAAAAGGAUGAGUUUCAAAAGGAAAUUUGCCUGCAUGAAUGAGCAAGCCUUUUACGGCCCAAGUGCUUCAGAUCCACACACAAGGAUGUCUGCAUGGCCCUGAUUGCUGCCAAGGUCCUUCACAGAGGAGGAGAGCAGGUCUGGGGACAGUCAGGAGACUUUUCCACAGUCACGCAGUGGCACUUGGAGGUGGGACACAGACCCGGGCCCCUUCUAUCGCUGACAGCCCAAAAGCAAGGAGAAGAAUGAAGCCUGGAAUUAAAGGGCAGACAAGGCCUGAGGACCCCGGGGAGACUCUGUGUCUGGGUCUCAGUCCUGCAGGUGUCUGUAUCACUGGACCACUGCUCCAUGCCGGCCGCUCCUCAGCAGCUCCAUUGUCCACCCAUGGCAAUCCGUGAGCCUUAAUUUCCUCUUUUGCUUUCUGGAACCUGAGGUCAAAUUGGAGGUCAGGGAGGGUCUUCCGUCACUGCCUGGAAACUAAGACAACCCUAAGCCACAGUCCACAGAGGGCAGGAUGGCCUGCUCUCCGCUGAGGUUGGCAAGGGAUGACCCGUCCCUGGUCCCCUCAUCCUGUGCUGGACUUGUGCCCUUGGCAGGUGACUGGAUGGGGUGCCAUGCUCAUCAGAGGACCCAGCAUGGAUGAGUGCAAGGUCAAAAGUGCUGCAGGACGCAGGGCCUGGUUGGAGGAGGUCACUGGGGUCUGACCUGGAAGGGUGCGUUCUUGUCCCCAGCUCCUCCCUUUUCUUUCUGCUUCCUGGCCACCAUGAGGUGAGCAGCUUUCUUGGCCAGGCCCUGGCACCAUAAUGUUCCUGCCUCAGAGUGUCCAACCAUGGACCGAACCCUGUGCAACCGUGAGCCAGGUCAGUCUCUUCCUCUGUGAAGAUGUUGGGCAUUUCGUCCUGGUGAUGGGAGCAUGGCUGGGCUGCCUUUUGAUAGAAAUACACUGCUUACCCAUGGCUUUUCUUCUGGCCACCCAGCUACACGUCCCCAUCUCCGACAUGCUGUGACACCAUGGACACUCAAAUGGAACACCCUAACAUGCUCUGCGACCCCAGUGCUGAGGCUUCUGUGCUCCUUGUGACCCUCGCCGACAGCCUGGUGUCUGGAAAGCUCCAAGCCUAUUGUCCUGUGCCUGCCAGCCCUCUGAGGCCAGCGCCCAGCUUAGAGUCCAUUGGUACCACUUCUGUGACCCUGUGGCCAGAAAGGACAGCAGCAGGACAGGCACAUGGCAGUGAAGACCCUGGUUUGCUUCCAUCAGCAAACACCCCGGGCGCCAAGGAGCAGGCGGAGACAGCCUGGAGCUGCCGAUGCUCUCCAGGCUUUCACAGCCUGGAGGAGAAAGAAGUGGAGGUGCAGGAGGGUCGAGGGGCAGCACAGGGGCGACAAGGGGGACAGGGCAACAGGGGCCAGCAGCUGCUCCUCCCCCAGCCUGCAGUCAGAGGAAGGCUUCUUACUUUAACCCGCAGCUGAGCAGAGCCGGCCAUCAGCCCAGCCCCACAAUCUGCCAUGUGGCCAGCACUUGCUGUGAUCCAGGUGCCUUCCUGGCCGCCCACACCACACCCACGAUGCUGGUGACAGAGAGAAAGUGACUCAGAGCCUUGGCUGCUUUGCACAGAGCUUCUGAGAGGCGUCAGCUGAUGGCGGGGAAUCACUUGAGCCAGCGUGGUGGGACCCACCAGUCAGUGUCACCUAGAACUGGAGCCAAGGGACAUCAGACCCCAUACUCACCCUGUCCCUGAGCUGACUGCAGAGAUGAUUCUAGAACUGACCACGGGAGCCAGGUGUGGAGCUGCACGCCUGUCAUCCUGGUACCUGGGAGGCUGAGGCAGGAACUCACUGUGUAAUUCAGGCUAGUCUUAAACUCACUGUGUAGCCUAGGUUGCUGUUGAACUUGCGGAGAUCCUCCUGUCUCAGCCUCCCAAGUGCUGAGAUGACAGAUACAAGCUACCCACCUGGCUAUAAUUAAUUAAUUCUAAGCACCAAAACCAAUCACGUUUACAUGACCAUCGUACAAAUAUCUUCUACAAAUUAAUAUGCUCUGCCCCAGUGAGCUUUUAGAUUUUUUCCGGUGAUUUUUAAAAUGCGCUCAGUAUCCCUGUGGUCUCUCCUGUAUUUCCUGUGCUUGUGUUUUAGAGUUAGCUUUAGGGUAGAUUUGUUGAGACUGUGCAACUUCAGCUUCAUUAAGCAGUUCAAUUCUUUUUCCAAAAGAACCUCAGUGCUCGGCGGCUGAGGCAGGAGGAUCUCUGAAAGUUUGAGGCCAGCCAGAAAUACGUAGUGAGACCCUGUAUAAAAAACCAAACCAAAGCAAACCAAACUGGUGAUAUUCUUUCAGCCUCCAUCAGCCAUGUGAAUGAGCUGCUACACAUCUUAUGAAACCAUCUCACCAGACUUCAAUUUUUUGUUAGCAAGUGACGGGUAUCAAACGGUACCCUCCAGUGACCUGAGCUGCUAUCCAUCAUUCACUGACACCCACUUUGCCGCCACACAUUAAUUAGUUCAGUGCGUCUUCUGAGACACACUGGAGUGUUCUUUGUUCUUCUGUAUUUUUAAAACUUGGGUAGUUUUUGCUUUGGUCUCCUUAGAAAUUGACCUCUGUAUUCCAGGUACUUUGUGAGUCACGUGACCUCUGUGUUCCAGGUACUUUGUGAGUCACGUGACUUCUGCAUUCCAGAUACUUUGUGAGUCACGUGACCUCUGUAUUCCAGGUACUUUGUGAGUCACGUGUUGUGAGCACCUUCUGUGAAUCUAUGCCACAGCCUAGCGCUUGCAGCUGGGCCCGGGAGAGCGGCCUUGCUGCAGUGCUGCUGACCGGGUCGCCGUCCUGCAAUCCUGGAGGGAGGAGAGACCAGGAAGCAGGCCCAGGCGUGCUGUCUAAGCUUCCAUGUUAGCAUGUAAACUCCCACGGGGCACACUGAGUUUGCUGGGAGAGGAAGUAAAGAUCCGAUCUCAGAGCUCACCGCUGUCAGUCAUCCAGCCAGGCGGGAUCAACAGUCAUCUCUGACAGUAAGCCCUAUCACUAUCCAUCGGCCGUCCCUGUCCCUCAACCGUGGCCAGCCCUGACCGCACCCCCCUCCCCGCUCCGGGGUCUCUUUCCCAUAUGCAUUCUGGAAUCCUCUUGUUGAGUUCAGUGAAAAAUUUUGCGGGGGUUUCAAAAUUAGGAUUAUGCUCAGAAGGCUGAGGCAGGAGAAUUGCCGUAAAUUUGAGGCCAGCCUAGGUUACACAGAGUUCCAGACCAGCCUGGAUUACACAGCAGAAACAAAACAAAACACAAGAGUACAACAAACCCAUGCACCAUUUUUGAGAGAAUUAAUCAGGUCAGGAGAUCGAAACUUUCUCUCCAUGAGCAGGGCACAGCUCCAGGUCUCCUAAACAAUAGAUUUUAUUGUUCCCUACUGUUUAUUUCUAGGUUACCAUGUUCAUUUUUGCGUGGUUUUUUUUUUUUUUUUUUGGUAGUGAUCAUAAAUGGUAUUCAUUUCAAUUGAUAUUUUAGAACUUUUGGAUGCAUACUUGGCACAGAGAAAUGUAAUUCUUUAGUUUAAAAAAAUCUAGUAUCUUAGCAGCCUUAUUAAUUCUAAUGGCUGCUUUAUCUCUUGGUUCCACAUAGUGUCAUGGCAUUUGCCAAAGACAGACAGACAGACAGACAGACAGAGAGGGAGGGAGAGACAGAGAGUGAGGGACGGAGAAGGAGAGAGGAAGGGAGAAUGAACUGCACUCCGGAGCUGUUUUUCCCCGUUUUCCACACUUCCCCUCCAUUCUCUCGGCUGGCUGAAACCCUGUGUGUUAAUUCCUUACACUGUGAGAGUGAAAUCCUUCGCCUUCCGCUGGGUUUUAACAGUAAUUAACGUAAUGUCUCACACCAUUAAGUAAUAUGAGACCUAUAGGUUUUCUUUCUUAAGGAUCUUUAUUACAGUAAAAAGAUUUUAUUGUGUGCUGAAUUUCUUUUCCUUUUUAAAAAAAUUUUAAGUAGGUGUUAUAUUUUAUCCUACGCUUUAGAACAUCUGUGAAAUCACUGGAUUCUUUUUCUGUGCUAAUGUGCUUAGUCAUAUUAGCAGAACUUCUCCUUGGGCAGGAGAAAUUAAAGGCUUUUUUAAAAUUUUGUUUUUGUUUUUUGGGACAGUGUCUGUCUGGGCAGUUCCGGCCAGCCUUGAACUCACUGUGCAGCCAGGGCUGGACUUGGAUCCUCCUGCCUCAGCCUCCUGAGUGCUGGGAUCACAGGUGUGCGCCACCAGGCCCAGUUUAAAUGCUUUUUAAAAAAUUUAAGAUCUACUUUGUAACCAACACUCUUCUGCUGAAACCUGUGGCUUCCCAGCCCAGGAAGAGGACAGCGAUGGCCCCAGGAAUCUGGGGGUCCUGGGCUGCAACUCAGAGAAACAGUGCGUCUCUGCCGAGUGCCUGCAGGACUUCUAUGAGCCCACACCCUCGGCCCAUCAUUUUAAGCCAAAGCUCAGUCCUGUGGGAACCAUGGUAUCAGGCAGGGAGCCCUCAGAGACAGAAUCACAGGUCUACCUGUCCUCUGUCCAUCCCCUUACUUUCUCAGCGGCAACUCAGUUUUUCCUGACCAGCCACAGCAUGAAUAGCUUACUGAAAAAUGUUUGUUGAAUGACCGAAUGAGUGAAUUCACAUUAGCUCUGUGCUCAGACUGCAGGUACAGAACUUUAAGAAUACAGAGGAACCCUUUUUUUCCUCCAUCAUUUGAAAAUCAAGCUUGGGAGUAUUUUUAACCAUGAAAACGUGAUUUUCUUCUGCCUGGCCCACAGUGCUGCCUGCCCCCAGCUCAGCUGGCCCCACCAUGGGUCCUCACAGACCCCUCUACCCCUAGUGCCAUAAGCCCCAGUGUGACCGAUGCCACUGGCAGAGCAGUGCCCUCCCCCAUCUCCAGGAUCAGAAGCUGUUUUUCAGGCCGAGGAAAACUCUUUCAAAUAUCAAAUGCUUCCCUACCAGACUCACAAAAUAAAGGCAACGACUCCAAGCAGCUCAGAUGUGAUGAGAGGCUGUAAAAAUCACACCAGGAAAUUUCCAGGGCUUGGUUCACACCAACUAGGUGCACAGAGAACUUCUGCAAAAGCUCAUUAUAAUGUAAAUUUAGCUGAGCACAGUGGUGAAUACCUGGAGUACCAUCCUUCAGGAGGCUGAGGCAAGAGGAUUUCUGUGCCUUUAAGGCCAGCCUGGGCUUCACAGCAAGUUCAAGGUCAGCCUGAACUACAAAAGGAGACCCUGUCUCAAACAAGCAAGCAGAAAACAAACAAACAAACAAACGUAAAUGUAGACUUGAAGCACCCUGGAUCUUUGGAAAUCACCCCAGUUCCAAGUAUAAGGAACUCUCCUGGCAGAUGCUGUCAGAGUUUGUGUUUCUCAUUUCUCCUCCUGCACCCACCAACUCUGGCUUGCAGGCAGGCCAUGCACUCCUGGAGGUCCCUGCCUGCUGCCCUGUGCCAGCGUGUGGGCCGCCUAACUGAGAUUCAGCCUGACCAGCUGCGGGGCUGUUUUGCCGUAUAAUAUAAGAACAUGAUUAUAAUACAGCAGACUGAAAGGUAUUUCAUGGUGCAGAUUUUGGAAAGCAAUUAGACAUCUCCAAACAAGUUUCUGCUGAAUUCCACUGACCUUGACGGUGUCUGCAGCCCAGCUGGGCACCUCUGAGGAGCACUGAGUCAGAGGCAUCUUCUGCACCUUAGGGCACCACCCAGUGGCCAAGGACACCUGUACCCAUGCCCUUCACCUCGUGCUGGAGUGCUUCAGUGUUAUGAUAAUCAACUCCUUUGUUUCCAUAAAUCUGUUCAAGACUAGCCUGCCUGUCAGUAUAGGACUCAGUGCAGGUAACCAAUUCUGUAAUAUUCUGUCUCUUGCUCUGUACCUCUCCCUUCUAAAUGCUAUCCAAACUGAGCUCUGCAAACUCAGUGCUGUUGCCUUUGGGAAUUAUCCUGCUGUAACAGUUCGCUGGGUGAAGAUGGAGCCGUCCUGUCCUACGGUGUAAGGAUUAAACACUGCUGCUGCCUUCUCGUCUCCUUUGAGUCUCACUUGGGGAUUUUCCUGCCACAUUUCCCCACAAGUCCUGGUGCCUGGGCUCCAUCCUGAGCCCACCCCGGACAAUGCCGAAUCGAGGCUCUAGGUGUCUGCACCACAGAGAGGAGACAAGAUCCCCCCUGCCCCCCUGUACUCCAGGUGGCCGUUUCCAUCUGGAUUCGCCCUUGCCAACCUGUUUGCUAGACCCACAGGUUACAGGGCUGCUGAGGCACAAGGGCUUGAUGAACAGUAACUAAGCCUUCAAAACUCAACCACCUCUCAGCUGGGUGUGGUGAUGCACACCUGUAACCCCAGCACUGUGGGAGGCUGAGGCAGAAGGAUUUCAAGUUUAAACCCAGCCUGGGCAACUUAGUUAGCCAGAUACUAGUUUAAAAAUAAAAAAUAAAGGGCUCGGGACGCAACUUACUGUGAAGGCCCCGGGUUCCAUCCCCCAGGGGUGGGGAGAAAAGCAAGCAAGCAACCCAGCUUUGCCCUCCCGAUGUGCCCCCCCUCUUCUGGGGGAACAACUGCCUCCACCACAAAUCUGAGCAUUUAGCAGGAAACUGUCAAGGAGGAUCCAGUUAAAUUAGCAUAAACGCAAAUUAGCAAUUACCAGCUGUCAAGUCACAGCAGAGGCCCAGGAAUUUCGACAACUAUCAAGACAUCAUUUAAAAAUAUUUAAUUCCACUCAUCCCAUUCCAACUGGGGAUGGAUUGCAUCUGCUCGGAGGGUGCGCUCUUGAGGGGGGAAACUGAAGAUGCCAGAAGGCACUUAAUUUCCGCCCACCUGAUGCCCCAAUCACGAGCUGUGUAGACGGGGAGGGGCGUGUUCCUGCGCACCCGUUCCCUGACAGCCUGCUCAGUCACCUGAAGAAGCCACAGGGCUUCUCACUGUGCGACUUGGACAGCCUGCACCACGUGUGUGAGAUGUGCUUGGAAUUACAGAGCAUUUUUCUAGCUCUCAAGAGACAGUAGGCAUUUUAAUUAAACAGAUGAAAUUUAAAAUCCAUCACUUAAACUUUGCAGAGAAUUAAUCACUUCAGCCUUCCUAGCAUUUUGCUUCAAAUGUCUCAAGAUCUUAAACUUCUGAAAGAGGACUCCAGAAACAAGCAGGACAAGCAAUGACGAGCAGCCUGUACUCUAAGGAAGAGGAGAUUGCUCUCACGGGGAUUCCCUGAAUCCCUGAGGACACUCCCAGAUCCUUCUCUUUCCCCAAAACCCUCCCCUCAAUGGCCAUAUACAAGGACCCUUCUCUCUGGUGCCCAAUCCCAGCAUCCCCCUCUCUGAUGCCCAAUCCCAGCAUCCCCCUCUCUGAUGUCCAAUCCCAGCAUCCCCCUCUCUGGUGUCCAAUCCCAGCAUCCCUCUCUCUGAUGCUCACUCUUUCUGGUGGUACAUUUUCAGGAUCCCUUUCUGAUGGGCAUGCUCAGAAUGUCUCUGUUUGAUGUGUUUCCAGAGUCCCUCUCCCUGACGUGAGUUGCCAGUCUGACCAGUGUUCCCAGCAUGUGUCUUUGAUUUCUCAGGACCCCUCUACCCAAGAGUAUAUUCCCAAGAUCCCCAGGUCUUUUUCAUUCUAUUGUGAUGCUGGGGAGUUGAGCCCAGGCCCCACACCUGUUAGGUAAGCGCUCUACCAUUGGGUUACACCCCCAAACCCAAGAUCUCUGUACCUCAGCAUCUUCCUGCCACCCUCUCUGCCACUGUGUUCCCAGCAUUCCUAUGUCUGAUGGGCAUUUCUAGGACAUCUUUCUUAUGAGUUCUCCCAGGAUUCCUCUCUCUCUGAUGUUAUUUUCCAAGAUCCCUCCUUCUCUGAUGUUGUUUUCCAUGAUCCCUCCUCUGAUGUUAUUUCUCAUGGUUCUUUUUAAUGUCACUUUUCAGGAGUCCGCUUGCUGUAAUUCCAUGUUCCCAGGAUCCCUCUUUGUGAUGUCAUUGCCUAGGAUUCCUUUCUCUCUGAUGUCACUUCCCAGGACCCCUCCCUCUGUUUUUCUGUCAUCAGGAGGCUUCCCCCAGUCCUACCGUGACAUUGCCAGCCUCACAUGUGUACCGGCCUCUUCUGUUCCCCACCACGAGUAACAGGCACUCACUCUGCCUCUCAGGCCGAGCAGCCUCCAAGCGAUGGCAAAACCUGUGCAUGCCCCAGAGAGCCCUGAGAAUGCGCCGGAGCUGGUGCCGCAGGAGCGCAGAGGCUGCAGGAGGCUUGAGAUCUAAUGCCACAGCCUCUGCCACCUCCCAGCCGCAGUGCUCCAAGUCCCAGGGGACAGUGAGCUGGCACUGUUGUCCCCAUUUUGCAGCUAGAGAAACUGAGGACCGGGAUGCCUGACACUGACUUUGGGAGUAAAGCCCAAAGGUGAAAACAGCAGCUGCUGCAGGGCUGCCCUGAAACCAAAGACCAAGCUUUACACUGCGACCUGAGGAAGCUGCAGAAGGUGGCUGCUAGGGGCACCGACAAGGGGCGGCUGGAGGGACCGGGCCACAGAGCUGUCCCUUGUCCUGACUGCGAGGUGGAGAAGGGACUGCAGGCUCCAUUGUCCCUGCGAUGGGAGAGUGACUGAGAAUCAGACUUUAUGAUUUCUCAACCAGGAAGCGAAGGACACAGAACUGUGCCCUCCCUCACCCUCUCCAGACAUGGAACCCCACACGCUACCCACCCGCAGAGGACCGACUCCCCCAUGCUGAGCUCUGCGGGUGCCUGGCUCCUCCUGCCUGUCCCCACGCCCAGGCACAAAGCCUCCUGGCCCAGCCCCAGCAUCACCCUCACUGGCAAACAAGAGCCUGGCGUUUGUACAAUGCUUUUGUUGAAGCCAGAGUGCUGACCACAGAUGGAAGAAGUGUGGGUUUCACACAGACCAGCCCCGAGUCCACGGAUGCACACUCGGGAGGUCAGACCCAUGGCCUGGCCGGGCAACAAAGUUCCUAUGGGAAAAUGAGCCCAUGUUCCGGUGGUCAGAGUCCCACAGAAUCCCUCCAAGGCUCUGUUUAUUGUUUAAAAGCGCAUCCACUUGGCAUUCUGUGCGGGCCGCUGAGGUGUGGGCUGAGGGAUCCCCACAGAGCACACAGGCGGCCCUUUGACAGACCCCACCACUAAUCAACUGUGCAAAUGUUGUAUUGCAAACUUGGACAGACUCAGGUAGGGCCAGCUCCAUGCCAGGUGACAGUACCAUGCUCCGAGCUCUGUGCACAGUGACCUGCGCCCUGGAAGAUGGGGGGGGGUAAAGGGUUGGGGCAGCAGGAUGGGGGCAGAGCUGCCCACAGCAUGUGCAAAUGUCCCGAGGCAGAGAAAAAAGCAGUCAGCGUGGCCCAGUGGGCAGACAGCAAGGGGAGGCCAGUGGCAGGGAUGAGAAGAAGGAGUUGGUGGGAGCUACCAAACCCUUUUCUCCUUUCAGAAAACCAAGAGUCAGCUGCA